AUCAAGCAUUUAUUGAACAUUCCAAUUUCUUUAUUAUCAAGCAAAAGCAAACACAUCAUGUAGUUGGUUGCGUCGUUUUUAAUCUUUCUGAAUUUUUAAAGAAGCAAACACAUCAUGUAGUUGGUUGCGUCUUCUUUAAUCUUUCUAAAUUUGUUAAGACAUAUUCUGAAUCGUCAACCAAAAACACUCAACAAAAUUAUAAAGAUCUUUGGUCAAUUUAGAUG